rnacentral:tmRNA from 1 species
GGGGGCGUACUGGUUUCGACGGGGGCUGAAUGAGCGUCAGUAGCGAGCCGGGGUUCCAUCUGCCCGUCAAGACGGUGGGAAAACAACGAAUGCCAACGAAAAUUACGCUUUAGCUGCUUAAUUUCAGCUAACCUCCAACCCUCUGGGCUCCGGGUGAGGGCUUGGGGGUCACAUUGACGGAGCUGGCCUGGCCCCAAUUCUCGGAGGGGUGAGGCGAGAUUAAUCGAGAUAGCUGCGGAAAAGCCUGUCGGUGGGCGUUUCGGCAGCGAAAGGUAAAACACCUGACUGCGCUCGGAGAAGCUGGCGUGGGUUCGCCUUCGGACAGGGGUUCGACUCCCCUCGCCUCCACCA